CUACCCCCUGUCCCCUACUCCAGAUCUAGGACAGAGCCACUACUCUCUCUACUCCAGGUCUAGGACAGAGCCACUACUCCCUCUACUCCAGGUCUAGGACAGAGCCACUACUCCCUCUGCUCCAGGUCUAGGACAGAGCCACUACUCCCUCUACUCCAGGUCUAGAACAGAGCAACUACUCCCUCUACUCCAGGUCUAGGACAGAGCCACUACUCCCUCUGCUCCAGGUCUAGGACAGAGCCACUACCUGCUCUACUCCAGGUCUAGGACAGAGCAACUACUCCCUCUACUCCAGGUCUAGGACAGAGCCACUACUCCCUCUGCUCCAGGUCUAGGACAGAGCCACUACUCCCUCUGCUCCAGGUCUAGGACAGAGCAACUACUCCCUCUGGUCCAGGUCUAGGACAGAGCCACUACUCCCUCUACUCCAGGUCUAGGACAAAGCCACUACUCUCUCUGCUCCAGGUCUAGGACAGAGCAACUACUCCCUCUACUCCAGGUCUAGGACAGAGCCACUACUCCCUCUGCUCCAGGUCUAGGACAGAGCCACUACUCCCUCUACUCCAGGUCUAGGACAGAGUUUUCCUCCAAGUCCAUGGUGAGAAGCCUGGUGUUAUUCCUCUUUGGUGAAGAGAUCCAGGGGUUCAGAUCUCCUUCAAUUUGGACCCAUCCUGGUAGAGCUGAUGACAGGUAGAUGUUGUAGCGGUCCUUCUGCUUCAGACUAGUUCUAACAUGGUGGCUAGAUGUUCCUCAAAUUAGGACAAGUAUUACAUGGUCCCUCUAUUGCUCUUUAGUGCAGAUCCCACUUAGUGAUUGGUGAAUUCUUCCUUCCAAAGAGAACACAUGGGUUGUUGUUGUAGUACUGUAUUAUUCUUUAGUCCAGGUUGAGUACUGGUAUUCCUCUUUGGUAGGACACUUCAGAGACUGUCCGUCUGUUGUACAUCUCUGUCCCUCCC
ensembl:lncRNA